GAUGAACGCUGGCGGCGUGCCUAAUACAUGCAAGUCGAGCGAACAGACGAGAAGCUUGCUCCUCUGACGUUAGCGGCGGACGGGUGAGUAACACGUGGAUAACCUACCUAUAAGACUGGGAUAACUUCGGGAAACCGGAGCUAAUACCGGAUAAUAUAUUGAACCGCAUGGUUCAAAAGUGAAAGACGGUUUUGCUGUCACUUAUAGAUGGAUCCGCGCUGCAUUAGCUAGUUGGUAAGGUAACGGCUUACCAAGGCAACGAUGCAUAGCCGACCUGAGAGGGUGAUCGGCCACACUGGAACUGAGACACGGUCCAGACUCCUACGGGAGGCAGCAGUAGGGAAUCUUCCGCAAUGGGCGAAAGCCUGACGGAGCAACGCCGCGUGAGUGAUGAAGGUCUUCGGAUCGUAAAACUCUGUUAUUAGGGAAGAACAAAUGUGUAAGUAACUAUGCACGUCUUGACGGUACCUAAUCAGAAAGCCACGGCUAACUACGUG
rnacentral:rRNA from 1 species